rnacentral:rRNA from 1 species
CAGUAGCCACGGGAAUACGGAGGGUGCAAGCGUUAAUCGGAAUUACUGGGCGUAAAGCGCACGCAGGCGGUCUGACAAGUCAGAUGUGAAAUCCCCGGGCUUAACCUGGGAACUGCAUUUGAAACUGUCAGGCUGGAGUCUUGUAGAGGGGGGUGGAAUUCCAGGUGUAGCGGUGAAAUGCGUAGAGAUCUGGAGGAAUACCGGUGGCGAAGGCGGCCCCCUGGACAAAGACUGACGCUCAGGUGCGAAAGCGUGGGGAGCAAACAGGAUUAGAUACCCCAGUAGUCCCUGUCUCUAUACA